ACGCUGGCGGCAUGCUUUACACAUGCAAGUCGGACGGCAGCACAGAGAAGCUUGCUUCUUGGGUGGCGAGUGGCGAACGGGUGAGUAAUAUAUCGGAACGUACCGAGUAAUGGGGGAUAACUAAUCGAAAGAUUAGCUAAUACCGCAUAUUCUCUGAGGAGGAAAGCAGGGGACCUUCGGGCCUUGCGUUAUUCGAGCGGCCGAUAUCUGAUUAGCUAGUUGGUGGGGUAAAGGCCUACCAAGGCGACGAUCAGUAGCGGGUCUGAGAGGAUGAUCCGCCACACUGGGACUGAGACACGGCCCAGACUCCUACGGGAGGCAGCAGUGGGGAAUUUUGGACAAUGGGCGCAAGCCUGAUCCAGCCAUGCCGCGUGUCUGAAGAAGGCCUUCGGGUUGUAAAGGACUUUUGUCAGGGAAGAAAAGGCUGUUGCUAAUACCGACAGCUGAUGACGGUACCUGAAGAAUAAGCACCGGCUAACUACGUGCCAGCAGCCGCGGUAAUACGUAGGGUGCGAGCGUUAAUCGGAAUUACUGGGCGUAAAGCGAGCGCAGACGGUUACUUAAGCAGGAUGUGAAAUCCCCGGGCUCAACCUGGGAACUGCGUUCUGAACUGGGUGACUAGAGUGUGUCAGAGGGAGGUAGAAUUCCACGUGUAGCAGUGAAAUGCGUAGAGAUGUGGAGGAAUACCGAUGGCGAAGGCAGCCUCCUGGGAUAACACUGACGUUCAUGCUCGAAAGCGUGGGUAGCAAACAGGAUUAGAUACCCUGGUAGUCCACGCCCUAAACGAUGUCAAUUAGCUGUUGGGCAACUUGAUUGCUUAGUAGCGUAGCUAACGCGUGAAAUUGACCGCCUGGGGAGUACGGUCGCAAGAUUAAAACUCAAAGGAAUUGACGGGGACCCGCACAAGCGGUGGAAUGAUGUGGAUUA
rnacentral:rRNA from 1 species